rnacentral:rRNA from 1 species
UACGAAGGGGGCUAGCGUUGCUCGGAAUUACUGGGCGUAAAGCGCACGUAGGCGGAUCCUUAAGUCGGUGGUGAAAUCCUGAAGCUCAACUUCAGAACUGCCUUCGAUACUGGGGACCUUGAGUUCGGGAGAGGUGAGUGGAACUGCGAGUGUAGAGGUGAAAUUCGUAGAUAUUCGCAAGAACACCAGUGGCGAAGGCGGCUCACUGGCCCGAUACUGACGCUGAGGUGCGAAAGCGUGGGGAGCAAACAGGG